GACAGAGUGGUGUAGUGGUUUGAGAAUUGCUUGAUGACUCUGGAAACCAGGGUUCGAAUCUCUGCUCUGCCA